GGGAGCUUGCUCCCGGAUGUUAGCGGCGGACGGGUGAGUAACACGUGGGUAACCUGCCUGUAAGACUGGGAUAACUCCGGGAAACCGGAGCUAAUACCGGAUAGUUCCUUGAACCGCAUGGUUCAAGGAUGAAAGACGGUUUCGGCUGUCACUUACAGAUGGACCCGCGGCGCAUUAGCUAGUUGGUGAGGUAACGGCUCACCAAGGCGACGAUGCGUAGCCGACCUGAGAGGGUGAUCGGCCACACUGGGACUGAGACACGGCCCAGACUCCUACGGGAGGCAGCAGUAGGGAAUCUUCCGCAAUGGACGAAAGUCUGACGGAGCAACGCCGCGUGAGUGAUGAAGGUUUUCGGAUCGUAAAGCUCUGUUGUUAGGGAAGAACAAGUGCAAGAGUAACUGCUUGCACCUUGACGGUACCUAACCAGAAAGCCACGGCUAACUACGUGCCAGCAGCCGCGGUAAUACGUAGGUGGCAAGCGUUGUCCGGAAUUAUUGGGCGUAAAGGGCUCGCAGGCGGUUUCUUAAGUCUGAUGUGAAAGCCCCCGGCUCAACCGGGGAGGGUCAUUGGAAACUGGGAAACUUGAGUGCAGAAGAGGAGAGUGGAAUUCCACGUGUAGCGGUGAAAUGCGUAGAGAUGUGGAGGAACACCAGUGGCGAAGGCGACUCUCUGGUCUGUAACUGACGCUGAGGAGCGAAAGCGUGGGGAGCGAACAGGAUUAGAUACCCUGGUAGUCCACGCCGUAAACGAUGAGUGCUAAGUGUUAGGGGGUUUCCGCCCCUUAGUGCUGCAGCUAACGCAUUAAGCACUCCGCCU
rnacentral:rRNA from 1 species